rnacentral:sRNA from 1 species
GCCAGGCGAGGUGAUGCAUGCCUGUAAUCCCAACAACUUAGGAGGCUGAAGCAGGAGGACCUCAAGUUCCAGUCCAAUUUGGAAAAUUUAGUGAGUCUCUGUCUCAA